GACGAACGCUGGCGGCGUGCCUAAUACAUGCAAGUCGAGCGCAGGAAACUGACGGAACUCUUCGGAGGGAAGGCAGUGGAAUGAGCGGCGGACGGGUGAAUAACACGUAAGGAACCUGCCUCAAGGAUUGGGAUAACUCCGAGAAAUCGGAGCUAAUACCGGAUAGUUCAACGGACCGCAUGGUCCGCUGAUGAAAGGCGCUCCGGCGUCACCUUGAGAUGGCCUUGCGGUGCAUUAGCUAGUUGGUGGGGUAACGGCCCACCAAGGCGACGAUGCAUGGACGACCUGAGAGGGUGAUCGGCCACACUGGGACUGAGACACGGCCCAGACUCCUACGGGAGGCAGCAGUAGGGAAUCUUCCACAAUGGACGAAAGUCUGAUGGAGCAACGCCGCGUGAGUGAUGAAGGUUUUCGGAUCGUAAAACUCUGUUGUAAGGGAAGAACACGUACGAGAGGAAAUGCUCGUACCUUGACGGUACCUUACGAGAAAGCCACGGCUAACUACGUGCCAGCAGCCGCAGUAACAC
rnacentral:rRNA from 1 species